rnacentral:rRNA from 1 species
AUGAUGCGGCGCUGCGGGUGGCUUUCGCUUCUCUGCCGCCCCCGCCGGGGUGGCCGCGCCGCCGUCUUGCCGCCGCCCAACCCAGAUCCACCGCCUCCCCAGCCCAAGGGAGAGGAGAAUCACAGUGCUCCUGACAAAGUUAUCAUGGAGAACAUUCUACCAAACGGUGAUUUUUCUGAAGAUCUCUGUUUAUGGCAUUCUAACGGUUGCCAUGCGUUUGUUGCCGUUGAAGGGUCUGGUUACCAUAAUGGUAUAAAGCCACAUUCAGGGUCUAAAUAUGCUGUAGUUACUCAUCGCACACAGACUUGGCAAGGGCUUGAGCAGGACUUAGAAAACAUUAGUGCCGGUACCGAAUAUAUUGUUACUGCCUAUGUUAGAGUUCAUGGGGAAUUUCAUGAGCCUGUUGGAGUCCAGGCCACGCUAAAACUUGAGGGGGAGGGGUCUCCUACCAACUACCAUUCCGUUGCAAGGAUUUUGGCCUCACAAGAAUGCUGGGAGAAGUUGGAAGGUUCGUUUGAGCUUACAACUAUACCAAGCCGCUUGGUGUUUUAUCUUGAAGGUCCCCCUGCUGGUGUAGAUUUGCUCAUAGAUUCAGUUACCAUUUCCUGCAAGAAAGCAGAGAGCAAGACUUCUUCAUUGAUUGGUGGAACAGCAAACAUCAUUUUAAAUUGUGAUUUUUCAGAAGGCCUUCAUUCAUGGCAUCCUAUCUGCUGCCACGCGUAUGUGGCAUCACAAUGGUCCGGUUUCCUUGAUGGUAUUAGAGGGGACUCAGGAGAGAAUUAUGCUGUUGUUUCAAAGAGAACUGAACCCUGGCAAGGUCUCGAACAAGAUAUUACAGAUAGAGUAUCUGCUGGUACAGUUUAUGCAGUUUCGGCGCGUGUUAGAGUUGAUGGGAAUAUCCAUGGCAAAGCUGAAGUCAAAGCAACCCUGAGGUUGCAAAAUCCAGAUGGAUCAACACACUACAAUCCUAUUGGAAGAGUAUUAGCCUCAAAAGAGAAGUGGGAGAAGUUGGAAGGUUCUUUUUCUUUGACAAAUAUGCCAAAGUGUGUGGUUUUUUACCUUGAAGGGCCUCCUGCUGGGGCGGAUCUUAUUAUUGAUUUUGUUACUAUUGCUAGGUCUGAACAUAAGCAGCCAAAGGAAGUAAAAUCAAUAAGUGGAAUCGAGACUAUUAUCAAGAAUCCUCAGUUUGAAGAAGGGUUAAGCAAUUGGUCUGGACGAGGAUGUAAUAUCUGCAGGCAUGAGUUCACUGCAUAUGGGAAUGUAAAGCCCGUAAAUGGCAGCUACUUUGCUUCAGCAACUGGACGGGUUCACAGUUGGAAUGGCAUACAGCAAGAUAUCACAGGCAGAGUGCAGAGAAAAGUUUCUUACGAGAUUAGUUCUCCUGUUCGCAUAUUUGGCAGUGCUAAUGAGACUGAAGUUCGGACUACUUUGUGGGUACAAGAAUAUGGCCGUGAGCAAUAUCUAUGCAUUUCGAAAAACCAGGCCUCUGAUAAGCGCUGGACACAUUUGAAAGGAAAGUUUAUCCUUCAUGCUCCCUUCUCCAAAGUUGUCCUCUUUAUAGAGGGGCCACCAGCAGGAAUUGACAUCCUUGUAGAUGGCCUUGUCCUAUCUCCUGCAAGAAAACUUGAUGCUGCUCCACGCCCAAAAGUUGAGGUUUGCAAGCUAAUUACUAAAUUAAAUUAUGUCCCCCCCAGGAGCGUGCCUUCAGAUGUCUCAACUUGUGUGUAUACAGUAGUUGUGUUGAAUGUUCUGUAUGGAGCUAAUAUCAUGCAGAAUAGUGCUUGCUCUCGCGGGCUUGCUGGGUGGAGUCCAAUGGGUUCAUGUCGAUUGAGUAUCCAUACCGAAUCACCCCAUAUGCUAUCUUCCAUCCUGAAGGACCCCUCGAAUCAGAAACAUAUAAGUGGUCGUUAUAUCCUUGCUACAAACCGCACUGAUGUGUGGAUGGGCCCUUCUCAGGUGAUAACAGACAAGCUAAAGCUACACACUACUUACCGAGUCUCUGCCUGGGUACGAGCUGGCUCUGGAGGAAAUGGCCGUCACCAUGUCAAUGUUUGUCUUGGUGUAGAUGAUCAAUGGGUUAAUGGUGGGCAAAUAGAAGCUGAUGGGGAUCAAUGGUAUGAAAUCAAAGGAGCAUUCAAGCUUGAAAAGAAGCCAUCUAAAGUUAUUGCAUAUGUUCAGGGUCCCCCUCCGGGUGUUGAUAUCCGAGUCAUGGGUCUCCAAAUUUAUCCAGUUGAUAGGAAAGCACGUUUUGAAUAUCUUAAGGACAAAUCAGAUAAGGUAAGGAAGCGUGAUAUUGUUCUAAAGUUCCAAGGAUUAGAUGCUGCGAAUGUUUUUGGUUCAGCUCUCAGGGUACAACAGACUGAGAACAGUUUUGCAUUUGGAUCAUGCAUAAACCGAAGUAACAUCGAGAAUGAGGAUCUUGCUGAUUUCUUCGUGAAGAAUUUUAAUUGGGCUGUAUUUGAGAAUGAACUGAAGUGGUACUGGACAGAGGCGGAACAAGGGAAGAUAAAUUAUAAAGACUCUGACGAGUUGCUUAAAUUCUGUCAGAAACAUAACAAACAAGUUCGCGGUCACUGCUUAUUCUGGGAAGUGGAAGAUUCAGUGCAGCCAUGGCUUCGAUCACUGCAUGGACACCACUUGAUGGCUGCUGUACAAGGUCGUUUACAGAGCCUGUUAUCAAGGUACAAAGGCCAGUUUAAACAUCAUGAUGUAAACAACGAGAUGCUUCAUGGAUCUUUUUAUCAAGAUAGGCUUGGAAGGGACAUCAGAGCUCACAUGUUCAGGGAAGCCCAUAAGCUUGAUCCUUCAGCAGUCCUCUUUGUCAAUGACUACAACGUCGAAGAUGGGUGCGAUUCGAAAUCCACCCCAGAAAAGUUUGUGGAGCAGAUUGUCGAUCUCCAAGAACGGGGCGCCCCAGUUGGUGGGAUCGGCGUGCAAGGUCAUAUCAGCCAUCCAGUGGGAGAUAUCAUCUGCGAUUCUCUAGACAAGCUAGCUAUACUGGGUCUCCCUAUCUGGAUUACUGAACUGGAUGUCUCGGCGGAGAACGAACACAUCCGAGCGGAUGAUCUCGAGGUGUGCCUCCGUGAAUGCUUCGCCCAUGCCGCUGUGGAGGGGGUGGUCCUCUGGGGAUUCUGGGAGACGUUCAUGUUUCGGAAUCAUGCUCACCUGGUUGAUGCUGAUGGAACAAUCAACGAGACCGGCAGAAGGUACCUUGCCCUGAAGCAGGAGUGGUUGACCAAAACCGAUGGUGACAUCGAUCACCAUGGGGAGUUCAAAUUCAGAGGCUACCAUGGGUCAUACACCGUAGAGGUAGCGACGCCCUCGGGGAAGGUGACCCGAUCAUUUGUUGUGGACAAGGAGAACCCUGUGCAGGUGGUUACCUUGAACAUUUAG